rnacentral:rRNA from 1 species
CAGCAGCCACGGUAAUACGUAGGGUGCAAGCGUUGUCCGGAAUUAUUGGGCGUAAAGAGCUCGUAGGCGGUUUGUCACGUCUGCUGUGAAAACCCGAGGCUCAACCUCGGGCCUGCAGUGGGUACGGGCAGACUAGAGUGCGGUGGGGGAGAUUGGAAUUCCUGGUGUAGCGGUGGAAUGCGCAGAUAUCAGGAGGAACACCGAUGGCGAAGGCAGAUCUCUGGGCCGUAACUGACGCUGAGGAGCGAAAGCGUGGGGAGCGAACAGGAUUAGAUACCCCCGUAGUCCCUGUCUCUUAUAC